rnacentral:rRNA from 1 species
CUAAAGUCUAAAACGACUCUCGGCAACGGAUAUCUCGGCUCUCGCAUCGAUGAAGAACGUAGCGAAAUGCGAUACUUGGUGUGAAUUGCAGAAUCCCGUGAACCAUCGAGUCUUUGAACGCAAGUUGCGCCCCAAGCCUUCUGGCCGAGGGCACGUCUGCCUGG